UUUCCGUAGGUGAACCUGCGGAAGGAUCAUUACCGAAAAACAUACUCAUCAUGACGAGGGUGUAAAGAAUGUGUAAAAAAUGUUCUUUAUAUGCUUGUCAUUUUGUGUUGAACCCCUUGUGUGAACACUGUUUUCUAUGUGCAUGUCAGCCAGUAAAAGACAUUUUUUUGUCUUUUGCUGACUGUGCUUGCACAUGAUCAACACCCCAUCAUUUAUAACGCCAAUCUUUUGGACUUAAUCUAUCUAUUUUUUUGCUGCUUGUUGAAAAACAAUCUUCAAAAAAUUAAAAUCAUAAACAACUUUUAACAACGGAUCUCUAGGCUCUC
rnacentral:misc_RNA from 1 species